GUGAGGAAUUUUGCGCAAUGGGGGUAACCCUGACGCAGCAACGCCGCGUGAGUGAAGAAGGCCUUCGGGUCGUAAAGCUCUGUCAAGUGGGAAAAAAGCCUUUUGGUGAAUAGCCAGAAGGUCUGAUGGUACCACUAAAGGAAGCACCGGCUAACUCCGUGCCAGCAGCCGCGGUAAUACGGAGGGUGCAAGCGUUGUUCGGAAUUAUUGGGCGUAAAGAGCGUGUAGGCGGUCAGGCAAGUCAGAUGUGAAAGCCCUGGGCUCAACCCAGGAAGUGCAUUUGAAACUGCCUUUCUAGAGUAUGGGAGAGGAGAGUGGAAUUCCCAGUGUAGAGGUGAAAUUCGUAGAUAUUGGGAGGAACACCCGUGGCGAAGGCGGCUCUCUGGACCAAUACUGACGCUGAGACGCGAAAGCGUGGGGAGCAAACAGGAUUAGAAACCCGUGUAGUCC
rnacentral:rRNA from 1 species